AUUGUUUGAGAUUCUUCGCUGUGAUCACUUCUCUCUCGUUUCACCUGUCCGGAAACAAAAGGAAAGUAAAAUUGCAAUUCCCAAUAAGAAUGUAAGGCUUCUCGACUCGUCGCAAACAUUGCAAAAUGCUUUAGUUGUUUGUGAGCUCACUCACCCACCAGCAACCACAACCACCAAAUUAAUCUGAAGAGACGGGAAGAUUAAUGCAAGGAAGGCUGCCCGAAGAAAUGACCCUACUUUUACAAUUAAUUUACGACAUUGGAUUCCAGAAUGAAUCUUGAGCGUUUAAGCAAACAAGGUCGAUGGAUGGAUUCUCCAGAUUCAGAUUCAGAUCCAAAAAUGAUCCUUCAGACUGAUUUGGAGUUGGACAAAUUGCGCUCGGCCCACGUGACUGAGGCUAUAAAUAUUGGACAAUCAGAUGGAAAGGUCUGUAUUAAGGCCCCCUGAGGUCUGUGAGAUUUAUAAUAUGAAUUCUCCCGAACAAUCUCAUAAUCUAAUUCUCCCUCGGGUUGUUGAGUUCAUACACACGAUGGCCUAGCAUUUUAUGGACGCACAUUCUUGCGGUGUCACAACCGAAUAAAUUCUAAUGUCCAGCAAAGAGUAAAAAUAAACUUGAAUGAAGUUGAAGAUGCCAUUAUUGUCAUGCACGAGAAUGUAUAAUAUCCGUGUAAUAACAAGUAUAUAUGUGAAUAAUAAUCUACGUAUGUUUGUGUACGUGGUGUG